UCCCUGGUAGUCCAGUGCUUAGGACUUGGUCCUUUCACUGCCAUGGCCUGGGUUCAAUCCCUGGUUGGGGAA
rnacentral:tRNA from 1 species